rnacentral:lncRNA from 10 species
ACAGGAGCCCAGAGACCUCGCAGGAGGAAGCAGCAGUAUCUGUGUUCCAAAUCCUGCCCAGCCCCCAGGCAGCCAUGCCUCCUGCCCCCAACAGGAUUCCUCACAUCCCAGGACCAGCUGGAAAAGGUGGUGAGAGUUGGAAAGAGACUGCUCAGUGAGGACUGCCCUGCGAACCAGCUUGGAUUCAUCCCGUUCACCUCCACGUUCUGCACUCGGGGCCGAGGGAAGGGAGGCAGCCCAGGCAGCUAGAGAACUUGAUGAAACACACUCAAUCUGAAUCUCGCUUGAUCGUCAUGCUGACCCAGUGAGUCUACUCAGGGUCAGGCAUCCUUUCCGACUACUCACUCAGCAGCGGAUCCCCACCCGCCUCUGACUCCCAGUGUCUUUCGGCUCCAACGUAAGUUCACCGAACGUCUAAGAGCUGAGGAUUCAAAGGCAUGUAAGACCGCCCCUGCCCUCAGCUGCAAGACCUGUCCGCGAUCCUACGAGCCCCAUUCCGCCCUCUUUCCCCGACCUUGGUCCCCCAUGGGCCCUACAACCAGGUCCCCGACUGACACCUUGACCAGCGAACACAGCAAACAGGCCCGCAGAUGCCGCAGGUCCUUCGGCACCGUCUCCAGGGCCAUCUUCGCCGAUGGGAAGAACAACAGGGAGAUAGACGACCACAGCCUGUGCACCCGCAGGAAGUAAAUAGCUCGUUACCCAGAAUGCCCACCACUUCCGGCGCUUAGACUUCCUCUUCCGGUGUGGGCGGACGCCAGCUCCGCCCCUACCCCCGCCAGAGGAGAUGGUUUCUCCCGCCAGCAGGCGGGGAGGCUGGGCGGCCGGCCGCCACCUGGGCCGGAGCGCGUCGCAGCCACCUGAGCCCGCCGAGGGCGCGGCGGAGGCUGUGUGGGGUAGUCAGCGGGCCCCCGGGGCGGGGGGGCGGCUGCGCUUGCGCGGGAGUGUGUCGGGCUGAGCCGCAGCGCCGAGACGCGGGCUGUUUGAUCUGGGCUGGUGGCCCUGGGCGUCGGUCCUGUUCCCCGAUGGUAACCCGAAGUUUGUUUUUUUUUGUUUUGUCUCCCCGUUUUAGAAGCAUUGGGGGCAGUGAAUCCACUGUCUCCCUCUGGAUUGUCUCUGCAGAGACCGAGAAGAAAUCCAGGGACAGCCCCACCCCUCCUUCCUAACUGCGAGAGCGCUAUAGGGUUUCCACUUGCUUCCCACAGGAAUGCUGGCCUGGGAGCUACGGCGGAAAAAAAUGCGUAUUUAUCUUUUAAAACUCCGUCUGUUUGCUCGUUCCGGCUGAUAAUUUAUACUUUGCGCAGUUCUUAGCGCUUAGACACGGUUCCUUUACUAAAGACCAUUUGUAGGAGAUUAGGUGUCCUUUUUUUCCCUUUCAUUUCACCGUCUAGGAAGCGAAAUGCCUUGUUCUAUAGGCACUAAACCACCACCCCUACCAAACCUUUCUCGGGGAAGCAGAAGGGGAACUUGUGCCUUGUGAGGAAGCGACAAAGGCCCCUUCUGGCCCUGGAGACUUCACGCCAAUGGAGCACCAGCUCUCUGUCCUCGCAAUAGCCCGAGUGCAGGCAGAACGCAGUCAUUUGUGUUUAUCUGAGAGGAGCUUUGGGAUAUAAAUAGUUUCAGGCCCCGCUGCGCUGUCAUUCCAGCCCAGCCUCCUGAUUGAGCUGCUUCCGGGCGGGCUUUCUUCUUGUUGGCGGUCCCAUGCUGUGUUCAGAUGGGCUCUGUGACAGGUUUGGAUGUUUUCUAUCACUGAAUAAAACUUUCCACUUUGGAACAUAUUUUCUACACUCUAUUAUCUCAUGUAAGUCCUGCAACAACUAUUAAGUAGGCCCAUUUUAUGGACUGAAAAAGCGAGGCACAGAGUAUUUGCCCAAGGUCUGAGUCACUGAAGUAUGAUAAUGUGUGAAGUGAACAGUAUAAUAAUAAUGACUGAAGCACAGUAAGAAUCCAGUCAUGCUUUCUCCUUCCCUGAUCUCACUAAGCCACACUUUUAGGGGCUUACAAACCAGUUCUUAUUGCCAAGCCCUCUACUCUACCCUAUCCUUUCAUGAAUCGGAGCCUAGCCUCUGAUAACAUAAAUAAUUUACUUCUCUUGAUGUAGAAAGAGAUGACGUUGUUACCCUGAGUGACAGUCACGACAGAACAAAACCACAAGACCAGACCACAUUUGUGGAUAAAUAUAUUAGCAAAUAAAUAUAUUUCUUAACAUA